rnacentral:ncRNA from 1 species
GUCGGGAGGGGACAGCAAUACAACACCCGAAAGGGAAACCCUGUCCGGCCGUUCUCUGCGCGGUUUCUUAACCUCCCGACACCUUUAC